rnacentral:rRNA from 1 species
GACGAACGCUGGCGGCGUGCUUAACACAUGCAAGUCGAACGGAAAGGCCCUGCUUUUGUGGGGUGCUCGAGUGGCGAACGGGUGAGUAACACGUGAGUAACCUGCCCUUGACUUUGGGAUAACUUCAGGAAACUGGGGCUAAUACCGGAUAGGAUCUCCUGCUGCAUGGUGGGGGUUGGAAAGUUUCGGCGGUUGGGGCUGGACUCGCGGCUUAUCAGCUUGUUGGUGGGGUAGUGGCUUACCAAGUCUUUGACGGGUAGCCGGCAUGGGAGGGUGACCGGCGACAAUAGGACUAAGAGACGGAGCAGACGCCAACGGUAGGCAGCGGUGGGGAAUAUGGCACAAUGGGCGCGAGCCUGAUGCAGCAGCGCCGCGUGCGUGAUGACGGCCUUCGGGGUGUAAACCACUUUCGCCUGUGACGAAGCGUGAGUGACGGUAAUGGGUAAAGAAGCACCGGCUAACUACGUG